ensembl:lncRNA
CCCCCCCCCGCCCCGCCACAUCCACCUCCCUGCCCGUUCUGGCAGACCCUUGAGCUUGUGCCCAUUGCCUGCCAGUGCUGUCACAUGCGCACGCACGCACACACAAACACACACACACCGGUCAACACAAGGAUUCCCUUCUACAGAACCCACUCAACUCUCCAAAGAAGUUCACCCUGUACUACUAAUUUAUGUUUUCUAAAGUACACUAAUGACAGUAUUAACUAGACCUUAUAGAAGUCACAGGUUCCCCUUUUCUCCCCUUGAUACAAACGUAAAGCAGCUUUUGCUCUAUAUAUGUGUGUGUUUGUGUAAUAUAUACAUUGUGUUAUAUUACACACACACACACACACACGCACUCUCAUACAGUCGCACAGUUGGACAGAGGAUGACUGGAGCUGUGGUGCAGGAGACAGAGACUCUUUACUCGGCUCUAGGAAAGGAGGGAAGGAUGGGACACGGAGGGAGUGAAGGAGGGAGAAAUGUGUUUGAAUGACUUCCCUGCUCCCUCUCACUCCCUCACACUCCUCCCUGUAUCUCUCUAACCCCGCGCCCCUCCUCCCCUCCAAAGCCCUAACCCCCCCCCUCCCCCCCAGAGAUGCACACUCGCUGGGAGUAUGGGAGAACACACACUCUAGUUUGAGUGAGUGUGUGUUUUGUGUAUGUGGACUUGUGAAACGGCAGAACGAGCAGAAGCGUCAAGACAGACAGACAUGCAUGUGAGGUUGCCUUGGAUACAGCAUCCUGGUAGACCUUUGCUUUUUUUUCUCUCUAACUCUUACUUUCUUACUGUUUUUUUUUUUUAUUUUUAUUACUGUUAUUUUCUCAUUUUAUUUGCGUAUUUUGGUUCUUAGUACAAAAAUCAUACUAAGCGUAGUCCUUUCUCUCUCUCUCUCUCUCCCCCCCCUCCGACUGCCUUUUCUUCAAACUUCGACCUAUGUUCAUCUGUCCCUUUCACCCCCCCCCCUCCCCCAUCAUCUACGUGCUUGCUUUGGUUAUGAGAGAAGCUGGAACUCAAGAGCUCAAAUUUAGCUGUAAACGGAGUUGUCUUGUCAAAAAUUGUGUUGUAUAUUAAAAAUGAUUUUUUAAAGAAAAUGACCUUAUUGUGAAUAAAGUACUUGACAGUGGUGGAGUGUUGAGCCAACUGUAACAUGAAUGAGUUUGAUGUCUGUCCUUGUCUGUGUGCAUGUGUGGGUGGAUUUGUGCUGGGCUGCUCUGACAUGUAGAGAACCUCUGAUUAGGCCUUAAAUUUGGUUUCGUUUGUACACACAUAAGGGACUCUAUGGUCAUGUGUCCCUCUGCAAGAGUCAUUGUAAUGUGUUUUUUUUUUUUUCCUGAAUUUUCUCAAGAAAUCGUUUCUCAUCUCAGUCAUCAAGGAGUUGUAGUUUGUAUUCUGUUUUAUAUAUAUUUUUAAAGGCGUAUACUAUAAUGACAAACAAUAAGUGAGUACAGUGUGUCAAACAAUGUUUAUACUAUGUUAUGAAAAGGCUAGAGUACAGUACGUCGGAAAAGGUUCUGGUAGAGUAUAUUGUGUCGUAAAAAGGCAUAUUAUAUCAUGUUGAAUAACGUAAUAUUUUUUUAAAUGUUUCAACACGCAAAACUAAAGUUGUCCUACAGAUUGACACGCAUAGAGAAAAUGAAAUGGUAAUAUUGGUGUAUGUCUAAAAGUCAUAUUUAUUCAACAAAUAUCUGAUCCAUAGAAUAGUGUCAGUCAAAAAGUCAGCAUGUAAUUGAACUACAGGCAAAAAAAUGUAUAUAUAUUUUUUUAUUCAUAAUAUACUAAGUGAAGUGUAAUCGUACAGCAGGUUGAAGACAUCCUAAAAGUCACAAAAAAAAAACAAAGGCAGAAAUGUAAUAGUAUAGUGGUACAAUACUUUGACUAAAGUAAUACUGUCAAAAGGCACAGGUGUGUCAUCAAGUCAACCUACACUAUAGUGUGUCCCAGAAUAGUAAGUAAAAUAUAUAUAUAUAAUAUAGUAUGUGAAGAAAAGUCAGUGUUGUAUUUACAUUCCUGUAAUAUCAAAGAAGUUAGUCAUAGCAAAAUAUGUAAAGAUCUAAUACAAAGGUCCAACUAUAGUACUGCAAAACAAGUCAAAGUUUCUCAGUAUAAUACGUAACAAAAUGCCAUACUUUGGUACGUCAUGAAAAAAAAAGCGUACAAAAGAAACCCAUUCGUAAAGACUUAUUUUGACAAUAAGAAACCGACAUGUCGGAGGACACAGAAAAUAUUGGCAGCAAAUCAAGUAGAGGUAGACAGUCCUACCAGUUUUAAUGGGUGUUUUUAUAUCUAUAUAUAUACUGUAGAGUCAUACACCUUCCACCGGGUCG